GAUGAACGCUAGCUACAGGCUUAACACAUGCAAGUCGAGGGACCGGCGCACGGGUGAGUAACACGAACCCAACCUGCCCUUUACUCGGGGAUAGCCUUUCGAAAGAAAGAUUAAUACCCGAAAUAAAGGAUGGGGAUGCGUUCCAUUAGGUUGUUGGUGAGGUAACGGCUCACCAAGCCUUCGAUGGAUAGGGGUUCGGAGAGGAAGCUCCCCCGGAUCGGAACUGUGGCACAGUCCACACCAGGACGAGACGGAGCAGAGAGGCAGAUAAGUCAAUCAAGGCUAGCCUGAACCCGCCAAGUAGCGUGAGUGGUGAUGGCUUAUGGAUCCUAAACUUGUGUUAUAGAAGAAGAUGUAUUAUAUGAAUAAGCACCGGCUAACUCCGUGCCAGCAGCCGCGGUAAUAC
rnacentral:rRNA from 1 species